rnacentral:rRNA from 1 species
UAGGGAAUCUUCGGCAAUGGACGAAAGUCUGACCGAGCAACGCCGCGUGAGUGAAGAAGGUUUUCGGAUCGUAAAACUCUGUUGUUAGAGAAGAACAAGGACGUUAGUAACUGAACGUCCCCUGACGGUAUCUAACCAGAAAGCCACGGCUAACUACGUGCCAGCAGCCGCGGUAAUACGUAGGUGGCAAGCGUUGUCCGGUUUUAUUGGGCGUAAAGCGAGCGCAGGCGGUUUCUUAAGUCUGAUGUGAAAGCCCCCGGCUCAACCGGGGAGGGUCAUUGGAAGCUGAGAGACUUGAGUGCAGAAGAGGGGAGUGGAAUUCCAUGUGUAGCGGUGAAAUGCGUAGAUAUAUGGAGGAACACCAGUGGCGAAGGCGGCUCUCUGGUCUGUAACUGACGCUGAGGCUCGAAAGCGUAGGGAGCAAACAGG